rnacentral:snRNA from 1 species
AUACUUAGCUAGCAGGAGCGAUACCAUAAUCAUGAACGUGGUUUUCCCAGGGUGAGGCUUAUCCAUUGCACUCCCCUGCGAUCUCCCCAUUAAAAAAAAAAAAUUCAAGAUUCGAGCUACAACACUGUACCUUUUGACCUGCAGGUUUGAUUUUGCAAACGUUGA